CAGAGGUGUAUAAGAGACAGGUGAAUCAUCGAAUCUUUGAACGCACAUUGCGCCCCCUGGUAUUCCGGGGGGCAUGCCUGUCCGAGCGUCAUUACAACCCUCAAGCUCUGCUUGGUGUUGGGCCCCGCCGACCCGGCGGGCCCUAAAGUCAGUGGCGGUGCCGUCUGGCUCCGAGCGUAGUAAAUCUUCUCGCUCAGGAGGCCCAGGCGCGUGCCCGCCAGCAACCCCCAAUUUUUUUCAGGUUGACCUCGGAUCAGGUAGGGAUACCCGCUGAACUUAAGCAUAUCAAUAAGCGGAGGA
rnacentral:misc_RNA from 1 species